GAUGAACGCUGGCGGCGUGCUUAACACAUGCAAGUCGAACGAUGAAGCCCAGCUUGCUGGGUGGAUUAGUGGCGAACGGGUGAGUAACACGUGAGUAACCUGCCCUUAACUCUGGGAUAAGCCUGGGAAACUGGGUCUAAUACCGGAUAGGAGCGUCCACCGCAUGGUGGGUGUUGGAAAGAUUUAUCGGUUUUGGAUGGACUCGCGGCCUAUCAGCUUGUUGGUGAGGUAUUGGCUCACCAAGGCGACGACGGGUAGCCGGCCUGAGAGGGUGACCGGCCACACUGGGACUGAGACACGGCCCAGACUCCUACGGGAGGCAGCAGUGGGGAAUAUUGCACAAUGGGCGAAAGCCUGAUGCAGCGACGCCGCGUGAGGGAUGACGGCCUUCGGGUUGUAAACCUCUUUCAGUAGGGAAGAAGCGAAAGUGACGGUACCUGCAGAAGAAGCACCGGCUAACUACGUG
rnacentral:rRNA from 1 species